AUCAUUAAAUAAAAGUAUUUAUUCUAAAAGAAAAAUUUAUAAAACUUCUUUUUAGAUUCAAUUUAAGAAUACAAUAAAUUAUAAAUUAAUAAAUACUGCACAAACUAACACUUUAAAACAUUUCAUUAUUUUCGUAAAACAAAAGUACUAGUACUUGGAAAAUCGUAGUAAAUCAAGUUUUGGACUUAGAGCUUUAAAAGUGGUACGAGUGCAUUCCUCAAUACCUGUAUUAUCGUCCUAUAGUCUUUUUGAAAACAACAAGUCCAAAUAACGACCGUCCGGCAGGCAGAAGUAUCGGUGCCUAGUGGCGAACACCAUGGCCAAUCGCAAACACGAUCACCCCACCACCCUAACUAACGGCUACUUCAUCGCUAUCCGAAUAGAAGGUAUACUGUAUAUUAUCAGCAGUAGUGUUAUAUCACUGUUCCUGAAGUGUACUAAACCGCCUUUCACGAUCUUCUCACGCUGAACUGAAAAAACAAACAAUGGUUAAAAAUCGUCGCAAUCUCAAAAAACCAAAGCAGUAUAAAUCUGCAGCCGAGACGUCCGAGAUGUAUAUCAAUACUAAUCUGACACAAACUAUAUUGCAGCUUUCGGAAAACAAUGACAAUAUGAUAGUCGCUCCCCAAUUAACAGUGGGAGCUUUGGAACGGAUGCACCUGUUUGAUUUGAUAUUUGUGGUCCUCAACGAUAUAAUGAAUGACCCCAGAUUAUAUGACCCCUAAUUAGGAGGCUACUACAAUAACAUGAACGGACAUGGGAAAUAAGAACAGUACGAACAAUCUUUUGAUUUGGUACCUAUUUAAUCUUAUUAACAUGUUUUAUUAAAAAAUAUAUUUUAUACAAUAAA